rnacentral:rRNA from 1 species
UCGUGAGAUGUUGGGUUAAGUCCCGCAACGAGCGCAACCCCUAUCUUCAGUUGCCAUCAGGUUGGGCUGGGCACUCUAGAGAGACUGCCGGUGACAAGCCGGAGGAAGGUGGGGAUGACGUCAAGUCCUCAUGGCCCUUAUGUCCUGGGCUACACAUGUGCUACAAUGGCGGUGACAGUGGGAAGCUAGGUGGUGACACCAUGCUGAUCUCUAAAAGCCGUCUCAGUUCGGAUUGCACUCUGCAACUCGAGUGCAUGAAGGUGGAAUCGCUAGUAAUCGCGGAUCAGCAUGCCGCGGUGAAUACGUUCCGGGUCUUGUACACAC